GACGAACGCUGGCGGCGUGCCUAAUACAUGCAAGUCGAGCGGACGAAUCGAAAGCUUGCUUUUGAUUCGUUAGCGGCGGACGGGUGAGUAACACGUGGGCAACCUGCCCUGUAGACGGGGAUAACACCGAGAAAUCGGUGCUAAUACCGGAUAACACGAAAUGUCGCAUGACGUUUCGUUGAAAGACGGCGCAAGCUGUCGCUACAGGAUGGGCCCGCGGCGCAUUAGCUAGUUGGUGAGGUAACGGCUCACCAAGGCGACGAUGCGUAGCCGACCUGAGAGGGGGGUCGGCCACACGGGGACUGAGACACGGCCCAGACCCCAAGGGGGGGAAGCAUGAGGAAAUCUUCCGAAAGGGAGGAAAGUUGGCCGGGCAAACCCCGCGGGAGCGAAAAAGGCCUGCGGGUCGUAAAGCUCUGUUGUUAGGAAAAAAAAAGUAACGCAGAAACGGGCUUUACCGGGGCGGAACCUAACGAAAAAGCCACGGUAAACUCCGG
rnacentral:rRNA from 1 species